UACAGAGGUCUCAAGCGUUAUUCGGAAUCACUGGGCUUACAGGGUGCGUAGGCGGCUUGUUAAGUAGGGUGUGAAAGCCCCCGGCUCAACCGGGGAAUUGCGCCCUAAACUGGCGAGCUGGAGUGAGAUAGGGGUGUGUGGAACUUCCGGUGGAGCGGUGAAAUGUGUUGAUAUCGGAAGGAACGCCGGUGGCGAAAGCGACACACUGGAUCUUGUCUGACGCUGAGGCACGAAAGCCAGGGGAGCGAACGGG
rnacentral:rRNA from 1 species